rnacentral:lncRNA from 10 species
CGUGAGCCACUGCGCCUGGCCUCCUAAGGAAUCUUGAUCCAUCAAAGCUUCUCUCUCUCUCCAUCUCUCCCCUGCCCCAAUUUCAGAACAGAUAAAACAAGCAACCAAACAAUACACAGACACACACACACAGACACAGACACACACACACACACACACACACACACACACAGAGCUCCCAUUGGCUCAAUCUCAUAAAAUUACUCCUUUCUCCAUUCCCUUAUCUAAGGGCUCUUAAAUCCAUAUUCUACAAACACUUCCUCAACUUUCUUCCCUUGUUCAUUCCUCAUCACUUACAUGACUGAAUUCUCUACUUGUUCUAAAGCUGCUGACUUGAAAGUCUCCAAAAAGCCCCUUAAAAUCUAGUCCCGUUACUUGUCUGGGGAGGGUUCCCAUUCUUUCUCUCUUUAGUAUGUGUUACUUGCUUUACCUUUGAAGUGACUUUUUUCUCUUGAUAAUCUCCUUCCCUAUGAUU